ACCCACCAGUCCCUUGACCCGCGAGCAAGCCUUGAACACGGCCAAGCAGCGUUGGGCUUCCCGAAGCUGGGGGGUCGGCGCAGCCUUCGGGGUGAACUUACGUGCUCACUGACAAUGUCCUUAAAGUCCUGGCAUCCUCAGAGCAAGACAAAAAGAAUGGGGGUGAGCAAAGGUAACCCCCAGUGGGGCUCUGGAAGUGUGAAGGCCCCUCUCCUUUCCUCCUUCCUUCCACCCCUUUCUUCCUUCCACCUCUGGCCAACGAGGCAGAACUCACAGGCAACACCUGGUUUCCGAACAGAUGCAGCUGCAUUUUGAACCUAGAGGAAAGUGUGGACACUGACUGAGGGGCUUGCGGGGGUGGGCGUCCCUCCCCAGAAGGGCACCCUUUCUGAUCCAGUGGGUCAGAUGGGCCUUGGUGCACAUAGGCAGGCUUCCCAGGCUGGGGACAUUGAGAGGGAGGCAGCAAUCCUCUCUCCUCCACUCCAGUGACUAAUAAAAGCUAACAUUUAUGUAGCA